rnacentral:rRNA from 1 species
UACGGAGGGUGCGAGCGUUGUCCGGAUUUAUUGGGUUUAAAGGGUGCGUAGGUGGCUAUUUAAGUCAGUGGUGAAAUACAGCCGCUCAACGGUUGAGGUGCCAUUGAUACUGAAUAGCUUGAAAAUAAUUGGAGGCUGCCGGAAUGGAUGGUGUAGCGGUGAAAAUGCAUAGAUAUCAUCCAGAACACCGAUUGCGAAGGCAGGUGGCUACGAUUUAUUUUGACACUGAGGCACGAAAAGCAUGGGGGAGCAAAACAGG